rnacentral:rRNA from 1 species
UACGAAGGGGGCGAGCGUUGUUCGGAUUUACUGGGCGUAAAGGGCGCGUAGGCGGCAGGUCAAGUCGAGUGUGAAAGCCCCGGGCUCAACCUGGGAGGUGCGCUCGAGACUGGUCUGCUAGAGUUCGGGAGAGGAGCGUGGAAUUCCCAGUGUAGAGGUGAAAUUCGUAGAUAUUGGGAAGGAACACCGGUGGCGAAGGCGGCGCUCUGGACCG